CUAAACUUGUGUUUUCUUGUAGUGUUGUAUUCAUCUACUUGUCUUCUCUCUCAGUUAUGGAAACGAUUUUUUUUUUUGUCUUCCAGUAAUAAUGCAUGUAUGUCUAUGUAACAUAUGAAGACGUGUUUGGGGGUGCUGUAGUCGUGGACGACUUGUGCUAUUUGAGAUAAGUUUUAAUGUAUUAGAUUUUUGAUCUAACUCUUUUUGUCGUUUGAAUUAUGUAAUGUUAUCUUGUUACACUCGGUGUAUGAACGUGUAAACUUUCUGUAUCAAACAGAGAGACGUGAUUGCUUUCGGAGUCAUGAUUUGAUCGUAACAAUAUGAUUUAAUGUAACUCAUUUUAGCUAAAAAUAAAUAAGAAU
rnacentral:lncRNA from 1 species